UGGGUUUCUUUAUUUGGGGUACCUUUUGCAUCAUGAUUUGUUGAGUUGUGCUCGUGAAUAGAGAGUCUCGAAGGAUAUUGAUUUUCUUCACGCUAGGGUUGAUUUAUGGGGUGAGUAACUUUAGUUUAGAGUGUGUUGAGGUUGUGAUAAGUGAUUCGGAGUAUCUUAUAGCUGGUUGAAAGGGGGGUUUAUUGGUGUAAAGCACUUUGGUGAGGAUAUUAAGGUGUGGUUAAGAUCCUUAGGUUGUUUUGUUAAGUAUCUUGGAUUAGAGUUCUCCUUGGUUAAGGUGUGUGUUAUGAUUCGAUUGAGUGGAUUAUAUGGAUUUGAUNUUAGCUCNCUNUUUUUAUUAAUUUGUUGUGGGAAUUAUUACAUGAAUAAGUUAGGUGUUUGAAUUGGUUUCAUUCUUUCUUCGAUUGUNNUUUCGGUUCUGUUUAUUNNAAAACAUUUCCAUCUGAGUUUAUAGAUGGUAGUGCCUGCCAGUGCUUGUGUAAAUGGCCGCAGUAUUUUGACUGUGCUAAGGUAGCAUAAUUAGUUGCCUCAUAAUUGGGGGAUUGUUUGAAAGGUUUGACUUGAGAAUUGUAUUAGAUUGGGAUUUUGACUGAAAUUGAAGUUGGGGUGCAGAUUCUCCAAGGUGUUAAUAAGACGGAAAGACCCCGAGAUCUUUAUAUUGAGGUAUUUGUUUGGGGCAAAAUAUUAUGUUUUAUGCUAUUUUGGAUCCUAAUGGAUUAUAGGUUUAAGUUACCUCGGGGAUAACUAGGUAAAAAAUAAGGAGAGGUCUAAUCGAUUUAUUUUAUUGCCAUCUCGAUGUUGACUUGGAAGAGCAAGGAGGUGUAGGUAGUUCUUGGUAUGGUCUGUUCGACCUUAUUUCCUUCAUGAGUUGAGUUAAGAUCCGGUGUGAGCCAGGUCGGUUCUUAUCUAUUUGUGGUGUGGAUUAGUACGAAAGGAUU
rnacentral:rRNA from 1 species